GACGAACGCUGGCGGCGUGCUUAACACAUGCAAGUCGAGCGGUGCUGCGAACGGGUGGGUAACGCGUGAGUAACUGCCCCCCUCUCUGGGGUAACAGUUGGAAACGGCUGCUAAUACCGGAUAGUGGGGGAUGACUCGCGUCCUAUCAGCUGUGUGGUGGGGUAGUGGCCUACCAAGGCGGUGACGGGUAGCCGGCCUGAUAGGGUAACCGGCCACAUUGGGCUGGGAUACGGCCCAGACUCCUACAGGAGUCGGCAGUGGGGGAUAUUGCACAAAGGGCGAAAGCCUGAUGCAGCGACGCGGGUGGGGGAUGAAGGCUUUCGGGUUGUAAACCUCUUUCGCUAUCGAACGGGUAGGUGGAGAAGAAGCGCCGGCUAACUACGUGCCAGCAGCCGCGGUAAUUC
rnacentral:rRNA from 1 species